UUGCGGGGUGUGAUUGAUGGAUAAGCGUUUUCCUUGAUGUGAAAUAGGAGAGGCCAAGAGUGCGACUCACCUGUCCACCGUGGGGUGACACAGCGGUCGCUCGUCUUGAGGGAGGAGGUUCUCCAGUUUAAAUGUCUCCGGUGUCUCAAAGGCAAAGAUGGAGUCACUCUCUUGGAUCAUAUCCAGAUCAUCGUCGUCGUCGCAAAAGGAACGAUGGAAGCCGUCGUAAUACAUCUCGGUCAGAAUGAACUACAAGAAACAAGCAAGCAAGUAAGUAUGUGUACAAGUACCCAAGGAGGAUUCGAUUAGGCCGUCAAGAAGUAACCACCUGGUCCAUUGGCAUUUUGGUCUCGCGCGACACAGCAUCUCGGAGGCGGUACACGGUGCUGUUAAGGGGCACGGCCACCCCAAUCCGCAGACAGUGAGAGUAUUUCCCCUGGUAGACCACUGUGAUGUAUAGCGGCCUGGCAAACAAAAUACGUGAAUUUAUUUUUAAAGGUGGUUCUGUUCCAGACGCAUGAAGCCAAACCCAAAAUCUGAACGGACCAUGUCUAUCACUCAUGUCACGCAGUAAUAAAGUCAUAAUUACAGUUCGCCCAUG